AAACCAUGAUGUGGACAUCUCCUUAGAAGUUCUCCAAAAAAGCGCUCUCACAUCUCAAACAGAGAUUCAAAUUCAUAUUGUUGAAAAUUAGAGAUCUCUAUCAUCAGAUU